rnacentral:rRNA from 1 species
AUUGAACGCUGGCGGCGUGCUUAACACAUGCAAGUCGAUCGGUAACGCGGGGGCAACCCUGGCGACGAGAGGCGGACGGGUGAGGAACGCUUGGGAAUCUGCCCUUCAGCGGGGGACAACACGGGGAAACUCGUGCUAAUACCGCAUACGCUCCACGGAGGAAAGCCGGGGACCGCAAGGCCUGGCACUGAAGGAUGAGCCCAAGUCGGAUUAGCUAGUUGGCGGGGUAACGGCCCACCAAGGCGACGAUCCGUAGCUGGUCUGAGAGGACGAUCAGCCCCAAUGGGACUGAGACACGGGCCAGACUCCUACGGGAGGCAGCAGUGGGGAAUAUUGGACAAUGGGGGAAACCCUGAUCCAGCGACGCCGCGUGGGUGAAGAAGGCCUGCGGGUUGUAAAGCCCUUUCGGUAGGGACGAAAGCUUUCGACCUAACACGUCGGGAGGUUGACUUAACCUACAAAAGAAGCACCGGCUAACUCUGUGCCAGCCGCCGCCGUAAGAC